rnacentral:rRNA from 1 species
AUUGAACGCUGGCGGCAUGCCUUACACAUGCAAGUCGAACGGCAGCACGGGAGCAAUCCUGGUGGCGAGUGGCGAACGGGUGAGUAAAGUAUCGGAACGUGCCCAGUCGUGGGGGAUAACGUAGCGAAAGUUACGCUAAUACCGCAUACGAUCUAUGGAUGAAAGCGGGGGAUCGCAAGACCUCGCGCGAUUGGAGCGGCCGAUAUCAGAUUAGGUAGGUGGUGGGGUAAAGGCUUACCAAGCCGACGAUCUGUAGCUGGUCUGAGAGGACGACCAGCCACACUGGGACUGAGACACGGCCCAGGCUCCUACGGGAGGCAGCAGUGGGGAAUUGUGGACAAUGGGCGAAAGCCUGAUCCAGCCAUGCCGCGUGCAGGAUGAAGGCCUUCGGGUUGUAAACUGCUUUUGUACGGAACGAAAAGGUUUGGGCUAAUAAGCUGAGCUCAUGACGGUACCGUAAGAAUAAGCACCGGCUAACUACGUGCCAGCAGCCGCGGUAA